UCUCUUUUGUUGAAACUCUUGAUUAUUUAUAUUGUUUCCAUAUGGUUGAUUGUUAAUUGUUGGGUUCUCAUCUGUGCUUAAGGCCUUUAUCGUUUAACUCAUUCNAAAAUUGUUCCUAAAAAUACAAAAUUUUUCCAACAAGUUCAGCCCUUCUUCUUUGCGUUGGGAUCUCCAUCAUCCCACCAGCUCACUUUUCUUCGGUCCACCUUUUUGGUAACUUUUGAAUAUGGUCUUUGAAUCUCCACCAUUCCUUUUUCCUUCAGCUCCUUGACCAUCCAUUCCUUUCUCUUAAAUCUCACCUUGCUCCCUGGUAGGAGUGGAUCUACUUUUGCUUUUGGAUGAAUGGUUCUUCUCCCUUCAUUUUCAGGCACCUGCAAAACACA
rnacentral:lncRNA from 1 species